rfam:Prunus persica cultivar Lovell chromosome G8, whole genome shotgun sequence.
AGGCAGUGAUGAAGAACUGAGGAAGUCAUGCACCACUCUGAUGAUUUUAAUCAAUCUGUGCUGAUAACCUUCUUCAUACCCAUUGAUUCUGAGCCU